UUUUGAAGGUAAAAGGACUCAUUUUGAAAGAAAAAAAUAUUGUUUCUGCAGACAACGGAGGAGAUAUUUGGAGCUUAAAUAGGAUGAGUUCUUCCAAGCCAUGCAACUGUGCAGACAUGAACAAAAGUCUUCACUGAAUCGAGAUCACGGGGCAACACUCUCAGAGUCUGAGUACUUGUGCAUAAGUUUAAGAGUACUUGCAGCACGACUAAACCCAGUGAGAGUGGCAUCAAUGUGCUUGGAGCAGACAUUUGGAAGGAAAGAAUUGAUUGAGAAAGACCCUUUAUGAAUGAACCUGUCUUUUUGUGAUAAACACACUCGUGAACUUCUUCUCUUUUGUCUAUUUAUCUCGUGAACUUAACUCACAUCAUAUGCUCAUAUGACCAUGGUGCAGAUUCUAAUACACCAACAUAUACACAAACUGCACAUUAUUGUGUUAUGCAGAUCAGUAGCUAGUUAAUUGUUUGUAACAGAAAACGAUAAGUAUGGAGGAUACGCAUUGCGGCGAUGAAUUGAGACUCUGGUCCCGCUUGAUUUAGAGCUUA